GACAACAGUAAAGCACCGUUAUUUGUAGAAUAUGGAGCUAAUGUUAUUGUAAUGCCAGCAUUAAUAAGAGCCAUUGUAGUACUGGACGGCUCCAGCAGGGGGCGCGUUGUGCUGGGAGCUAUACUAGAGGACACCUGACUUCCUGCUUGCAGUCAAUACAGACGUGAGCAGAACGAAGUUGUGUCCUCGUAUCUGUAUACUCAAACAUCUCCCUUCUCAGAUGCUGCUAAGACAGUUCAUAUUUCUCCAGGCAGUCCUGUCCUCCAGGUAGGCUGCAAGGACAUGGAAGUGAUCAAUUAUCUUUUCUACUCCUUGGUGGUUUCAAAAUAAAACGUUCCUCUGGAAAACAAAA